rnacentral:lncRNA from 10 species
CGCGUUUUGGGGAAAGGCAGAGCAGCGGGAGCGCGGCGCAAGGGCAAAAUGGAUCGUUGGUACCCGGAAGCCCGUUCAAACUGUAUAAGGGUGAUCAGCUAUCACGGAGAAGGCUUUAGCAAGUCGGGGCCAGUGGCGCAAUGGAUAACGCGUCUGACUACGGAUCAGAAGAUUCUAGAAGCCCAUGGAAACAAGGCGAUGACGGCGCUUGAGGGUGACCAGACCUCCUCAAUCAUUCCAUCAGCCACCCAGGACUCAACAGCAGAACCUCAGAGGACUCAGCUGAAAGAGGUUUUCACUCGAGCACUAACCACAGAGAAAUGGGAAGUGCCAUCCUGCUGUCAUACGCAGCCGAUGGCUGGGUAGGACUAAAUGCCCUUCUGUGGUGAGAUGAACCAAGACGGCAGAUGGGGGAAUAACAUCAGUGAGAGAGAGAUUACGAAUGGAUCCUUGUAUUGCAGAUCAAACUGGGUUGUCUCUUCUCAAACCACCCAGGCAGUUUCUGAAUGUCCCAAGAUAGGGGUAGGAGAAAAGAAAAAAAAGACAAAACAGGAGACGGUGGGUAAGAAAACCUAAAAGGCACAAUGAGGCAAAGGCCUAAGAUGGAGGCUGGCUUUGGGAUCUGAAAUCCGGCCACAAUCCUCCUUGUUUUACCUCAAGUCCAAGAAUUGUCAAAAAGAAAACCCAGAAGGGCUAUUCAUUCUAAAUUUUAAAAUCUUUUCUUCCUGGCCUACCAAGUCCUUGUGUUUUCUUUCUAGGCGCCCAUAAAUACAACCCCAUUACAGUUCUAUUUGGCUAAUAAUUUACAGAACAUUUAAAAUACCGGGUAGGUGAACAUCUCUUCAUGGCUUUUGUGUAAGGGCCUGAAGCGAAGAGAAAAACAACUGAUUGGAGAUUCCUAUCUGGCGCCUUCUCCAGGGAAACUGACAACCAGAGAAAUCUGUUGCUAGGAUUUCUAGGACAUCUGGAAAUUCCCUUUUUGUUCUUUCUCAACAAUAUAAAAUGGUAUAUUCGCAAACCUAUCUGAAUCACCUCAAUCUAGGCCACUUUGAAAAUUUCAUUUAAAAAUGUAAUCACAGAUUUUUAAACUAAUUACCCAAUUUGCAAACAAAUCCCAGCUACUUCUGGUCUUGAACAUGGAGCAAAGGUGUGUCAGUAAGGCCAACAUUCUUAGGUUGACAGAGACAGGUUAACACAUUGGCUGGCUUCAUUUACCCCCCUGCCACGCCCCACACUGAGCUGGAUGAUUUGAUGGGAAGAGAGGGUCCCCACCUCAGGGUUCACUUCCCCAGCCCCAGCGUUCAUGGGUUUUCAGGAGGAAACCCUGCCUCACCUAUUUCAAAUCU